GCAGGUACUCCAGCAGCUUCUGCCUAUCGAUGACGUUAUAUGCCUCUUCUGUGCCGAUGAUGCAGAGCGCGUUGACAGCGGCAUAGGUGGGGGCGAGGUGGGGGUGCUGGCCCGGGCCCCCCCCAAAGCCACCCUGGGGACUCUGGCAGCAGCUCAGGAACUGGCAGACAUCAGAGGCGACCGACUGGGGAAUGGGCUCCUCCAGCAGCUCCAGGCUGUGCAGGAUCCAGUAGCAGAGCCAGGGGCGGCUGGCAUCCAGACACUCAUACGCUUCGCCCAGCUGCCGGAGGCCUCUCUUCAGGUAGUGGAAGUGCUUCUCCCGCUGCAGGACGAACUGCACGGCGUGGUGGUUCGUCUUGUAGGCGUCAAACACUUCCUGCACAAUGUCCUCCACUUUGCUCUG
rnacentral:lncRNA from 1 species